AGUAUCCUACGGGACGCAGCAGUGGGGAAUAUUGCACAAUGGGGGGAACCCUGACGCAGUGACGCCGCGUAUAGGAAGAAGGUUUUCGGAUUGUAAACUAUUGUCGUUAGGGAAGAUAAAGGACUGUACCUAAGGAGGAAGCCCCGGCUAACUAUGUGCCAGCAGCCGCGGUAAUACAUAGGGGGCAAGCGUUAUCCGGAAUUAUUGGGUGUAAAGGGUGCGUAGACGGAAGAACAAGUUGGUUGUGAAAUCCCUCGGCUCAACUGAGGAACUGCAACCAAAACUAUUCUCCUUGAGUGUCGGAG
rnacentral:rRNA from 1 species